UGAGAUGCUUCUUGGUUUUGGAAAAAUUGUAAUAACAAUUUCUUUAACAAUACUUUCAAUAUUCCUGAUCACAAAGCAGACAUCGUUCGUAUAAUGGAAUUUUUCAGUUUAGGUCAUAAGCCAAAAACUAAACAUUUUUCGUACGCCUAUCUGGAUUACUUGGCUGCCCCUGGAACAAAAAUCCUUUAAGUUAAGCAUUGAUGGCGCGUUUGAUAUCAUCUUUGGUAAAGAAGGCCUAGGUAGGUUUAUUCGUGAUCAUGUGGGAAACUGGGUUCUGGGUUUCACACACUCCAUUUGUGAUACUGACAGUUUAUAGGCUGAAUUAUUGGCCCUCUACAAUGGCCUUAAACUUGCCUUACUGCACAAUUUACAACCUUUAAUCAUUGAGCUCGAUGCUACUCAAGUGAUUAUCCUUUUACACUCUCUCAUUUUAUCAUAUGCUCACAUUAUACAUGAUUGCAGGUAGAUGCUCCAUCAACUCACUAAUUCAAGCAUAGUGCACUCAUACAUGAAAGUAAAUAACAUCGCGGAUAGGCUUGCUAAACCAGCUUUAACUGGCAACUUCUUGUAGGACAUCUCCAUUUUGGAUGAACCACCUCCUCUUGUUCAAACUUCACUUGCAGGUAACCAAUGGGCUCAAGCUACUAAAACACUCGUACUAGCUGCAACUUUUCCUUCAAGCCGUCGAAAUAGUUCUAAUGUCCUUCUAACUAGCGUAGAUUUACCAAUAUAGUAACUACUUUUUUCUGUAACUUAGACCAUGUGGGUCUGUGAUGGCCACCGGCCAUUACUCCAUGUACUCCUUUAAGUUUUUAAUAAAAUGUUUUAUCUUUCCUUAC
rnacentral:lncRNA from 1 species